GUGCUUUCUUCAGCAGCACAAAUACUGAAAUUGGAAUGAUACAGAGAAGAUCAUCAUGGCCCUUGCACAGGAUGACAUACAAAUUUAUGAAGCAUUCCUGAUUCAU
ensembl:snRNA U6 U6 spliceosomal RNA